CGCUAUCACUCCUACGGGAGGCAGCAGUAGGGAAUCUUCCACAAUGGGCGCAAGCCUGAUGGAGCAACACCGCGUGAGUGAAGAAGGGUUUCGGCUCGUAAAGCUCUGUUGUUAAAGAAGAACACGUAUGAGAGUAACUGUUCAUACGUUGACGGUAUUUAACCAGAAAGUCACGGCUAACUACGUGCCAGCAGCCGCGGUAAUACGUAGGUGGCAAGCGUUAUCCGGAUUUAUUGGGCGUAAAGAGAGUGCAGGCGGUUUUCUAAGUCUGAUGUGAAAGCCUUCGGCUUAACCGGAGAAGUGCAUCGGAAACUGGACAACUUGAGUGCAGAAGAGGGUAGUGGAACUCCAUGUGUAGCGGUGGAAUGCGUAGAUAUAUGGAAGAACACCAGUGGCGAAGGCGGCUACCUGGUCUGCAACUGACGCUGAGACUCGAAAGCAUGGGUAGCGAACAGGAUUAGAUACCCUGGUAG
rnacentral:rRNA from 1 species